GAUUAACGCUGGCGGCGUGCCUAACACAUGCAAGUCGAACGAGGUAGCAAUACCUAGUGGCAGACGGGUGAGUAACGCGUGGUCAACCUACCGUUGAGUGGGGGAUAACUAGCCGAAAGGUUAGCUAAUACCGCAUACGUCUCCGAGGGGCAUCCCUUGGCGAUAAAAGGAGCAAUCCGCUCGAUGACGGGACCGCGUCCCAUUAGCUAGAUGGUGGGGUAACGCCUACCAUGGCACCGAGGGUAGCUGGUUUGAGAGAGCGACCAGCCACACUGGGACUGAGAAACGGCCCAGACUCCUACGGGAGGCAGCAGUGAGGAAUUUUCCGCAAUGGGCGCAAGUCCUGACGGAGCGACGCCGCGUGUGGGAAGAAGGCCUUC
rnacentral:rRNA from 1 species